GUUUAGUAGGCAGCACAGAUACUAAAAUUGAAACAGUACAGCAAAGAUUAGCAUGGCUCCUGGGUAAGGAUGAUAACAGAUUAAAGAAGUUUUCCACAUUUUA
ensembl:snRNA U6 U6 spliceosomal RNA